rnacentral:miRNA from 1 species
CGAUCUUACUGGAACACAAGUU